AUACACAACACAACUAAUAAUCAUGACCUAAUUCAGUGCUAUGCAAUGAACCUCACCUUUGCAGUCUGGACUGUGAACGUCUGAUGCAGCAAACCAACAAGGAAAAAGAGAAAACAUGUUAGCUUGAAUCAAAUGGAAAACCCUUUUGUUUAAAGACCUUGUGCUCUGAGAUUUAAGACUCGGCUGCUUGGUCACUGCUUGUUGAGGUUCAUCACUUGGAACAGGUAUAGCUAUAAUAAGACAGACAUUUAAACAGUUUGAAAAUUUCCUCAUUGAUGCAAGAAGCUAAGGAAAUAUAUGAUAUGAUCAGUUGGAUACCAUUCAUUUAUGCGCUGCAAUCCGGCUGCAGAAAUCACAUUCCAUUGUGAGGGGUCCAUUUUGCAUUUUUCAAAGAAAUCAGAAAUUUUUUUGCUUGAUUCAUCGCCAUUGAGGGGAUCAAUGUGGAAGCCAGAGACCCCAUCAACAAUAAUUUCUGCUGGGCCUCCUUGGUUGGUAGCAAAAGUGGGCAAUCCACAGUUCAUUGCUUCAAUGACAGUUAAUCCAAAUGCUUCAUACAAAGCAGGCUGCACAAAUGCUCCUCUUGUGUCAGCAAUGCAACGGUAGAGCUCUCCGUUGCGGUACCUAUUAGUCUGUGCAGCAAUCCAUCUAAACUGACCCUUCAGUUGGUACUUAUCAAUUAAGUCAUGCAUCUUUUUUAUUUCUGCCAUUUCCUCCCUGUCUUUUGAUUUUGAAGGGUCAAAGAAGCCCCCUACUAUGACAAGGUUCACCAAAUUUCUCAAUCUCUUGUUCUUGCCAAACCAUUCAACUAAACCGCUUAAGUUCUUUACAACAUCAAGCCUAGCCAUUGAGAAGAUAAUUGGCUUCCUCCUAUCUGCCAGGUAUCCACUGCUUCCAUAACAAUUUCAGAAGUGAAGUCAUUCAUUUGGAAGAAUGUGGUAAUUUAUAACUCAAUGUUACUUACAAGAGAGGAAGUCACUUACAUAUGCUCAUUGUUAUCCACUUUACUAAAAAGAAGAUCCUCAAUGGCUGGCUGAAAUUGAGUGAGCCUUUUUUCUUUCUCUGUGUAAGGGAAAUAGACAGAUUGGUCUGCUCCUGGCGCGGCUAUAUUGAACUUAGGAUCAAACACGUUUAUCCCUGAAACAACUCUACACAGCCCUGGGAGUGUGAAUGCGGCAUGGCUUUCAUAUUGUCCAGGUCUAUCUUUGCUGCAAAUAUCAACUUUCAAAUUUAGAUUUCAUUUUUUUUUCCUGUUUUGUGCUCAUUUAUGUGUGUUUAAGGCUAUUUGAGCUAACCUUCCAGCAAUUUCCUGGUAUGUACUGGUUAUGAUGAAAUCAGUUGCAUUCAUUGCCACUGUAUCAGCCAUGAAUUGACAUGAGAAGUGAUAUUUGGGAUCCAACUCUUUCCACUUGACAUCUGAGUCUUCAUACUUGGUCUUCUCUAAAGCAUGAGCUAUAAUUCCCUGGUUUUCAGUUGCCAAAUGGAAUUAGUACAUGUAGAAAAAGAAAAUAAAUGUACUUGCAACCACAAAAAACUGUUCAAAGCAAAACUUAUGCUGUAUUAACCUGAGUUAUCCCAAGUUUUCUAGCCAUUAGUGAUGCUACCAAAUUUCCAUCUGUGUAAUUUCCAAUAACAAGAUCUGGUUUCCCUUCCAUGAACUCAAGAAUCUUGGUUGUUGCAUCCUAUUUAAAUGAGCCAAAGUAUGGUAAGAAGGAAAAAAUCAUGAGUGGCAAUAGAUAACAGGUAAAGAAUCUUGAAUCAGAUGUACAUGCCUGAGUAAACCUCUCAAGAUAGGGGUAAAUAUCAAAGCGAGAAACCCACUGAUGAAGUAUUCCUUUAUCUGUCUGAAAAGGCACACGUAAAAUGUGGGAGUGUUUAGUAUCAUUUAUUGGUUCCAACUCCUGGUGACACUUGGUUCCCCGAGCAUCAGGUAUGAGCCUUGUUAUCUGUCAAGAUCAAUAGUGUACUCUUAAGAUUCUAGUAACUUCAAGUGCGUAUACCGAGAUAUAAUUAUCCAUUCCUUUGCAUGAAACUCACCACAAGAAUUUGAGGUUUCACAUUUAGCCCUUGUUGCUUGAUUCUCAGAAGCAAUUCUGCUUCCAGAGACUUGACUUGGUCCAAUAUGUAAACUAUCUGUUGUACUUCUCUCAAUGAGUAUUAGAAAUGAAAAUGCAUUUUACUUUUAA